rnacentral:rRNA from 1 species
UUGAACGCUGGCGGCAUGCUUUACACAUGCAAGUCGGACGGCAGCACAGAGAAGCUUGCUUCUCGGGUGGCGAGUGGCGAACGGGUGAGUAACAUAUCGGAACGUACCGAGUAGUGGGGGAUAACUGAUCGAAAGAUCAGCUAAUACCGCAUACGUCUUGAGAGAGAAAGCAGGGGACCUUUGGGCCUUGCGCUAUUCGAGCGGCCGAUAUCUGAUUAGCUAGUUGGUGGGGUAAAGGCCUACCAAGGCGACGAUCAGUAGCGGGUCUGAGAGGAUGAUCCGCCACACUGGGACUGAGACACGGCCCAGACUCCUACGGGAGGCAGCAGUGGGGAAUUUUGGACAAUGGGCGCAAGCCUGAUCCAGCCAUGCCGCGUGUCUGAAGAAGGCCUUCGGGUUGUAAAGGACUUUUGUCAGGGAAGAAAAGGCUGUUGCUAAUAUCAGCGGCUGAUGACGGUACCUGAAGAAUAAGCACCGGCUAACUACGUGCCAGCAGCCGCGGUAAUACGUAGGGUGCGAGCGUUAAUCGGAAUUACUGGGCGUAAAGCGGGCGCAGACGGUUACUUAAGCAGGAUGUGAAAUCCCCGGGCUCAACCCGGGAACUGCGUUCUGAACUGGGUGACUCGAGUGUGUCAGAGGGAGGUAGAAUUCCACGUGUAGCAGUGAAAUGCGUAGAGAUGUGGAGGAAUACCGAUGGCGAAGGCAGCCUCCURGGACAACACUGACGUUCAUGCCCGAAAGCGUGGGUAGCAAACAGGAUUAGAUACCCUGGUAGUCCACGCCCUAAACGAUGUCAAUUAGCUGUUGGGCAACUUGAUUGCUUAGUAGCGUAGCUAACGCGUGAAAUUGACCGCCUGGGGAGUACGGUCGCAAGAUUAAAACUCAAAGGAAUUGACGGGGACCCGCACAAGCGGUGGAUGAUGUGGAUUAAUUCGAUGCAACGCGAAGAACCUUACCUGGUCUUGACAUGUACGGAAUCCUCCAGAGACGGAGGAGUGCCUUCGGGAGCCGUAACACAGGUGCUGCAUGGCUGUCGUCAGCUCGUGUCGUGAGAUGUUGGGUUAAGUCCCGCAACGAGCGCAACCCUUGUCAUUAGUUGCCAUCAUUCAGUUGGGCACUCUAAUGAGACUGCCGGUGACAAGCCGGAGGAAGGUGGGGAUGACGUCAAGUCCUCAUGGCCCUUAUGACCAGGGCUUCACACGUCAUACAAUGGUCGGUACAGAGGGUAGCCAAGCCGCGAGGCGGAGCCAAUCUCACAAAACCGAUCGUAGUCCGGAUUGCACUCUGCAACUCGAGUGCAUGAAGUCGGAAUCGCUAGUAAUCGCAGGUCAGCAUACUGCGGUGAAUACGUUCCCGGGUCUUGUACACACCGCCCGUCACACCAUGGGAGUGGGGGAUACCAGAAGUAGGUAGGGUAACCGCAAGGAGCCCGCUUACCACGGUAUGCUUCAUGACUGGGGUGAAGUCGUAA